GCCGGGGCGUCCCCCGCGGGAGCCCGCAGCCACCCGGGACGCGCAUCCAGACGUGGCGCUUCGGACCGGGCACGCUGCGCCCGGGGGCUCGGCGGACCCCGCGUAGCCGCCGCUUCGGAGCUUGUGCGGCGCGGGCUGGCCAGCGGGGCGGCCAGGGCCCGGCCCGCCUCCCCAGCGCCCGCCCGGCUUCUCCCCCUGGCGGUGGGAGCCUCGGCGGCCGCUGGCGACACUAGGCGCACUGAAGCCCGAGCCGAGCCGAGCCCGAGCCGCCGCCGCCGCCGCCGCUGCUGCGCACCGCUCCCGGGCUCCCUCCCAGCGCGCCGGCCGGGGUGUGGGGGGCGGCGGGCCGGAGGGGCGAGGGCGGGCCAGGGGGCGCACACGGGGGUUGGCGCGGAAGACAGGACCCUCAGCCUCGAGGGAGCCCCUAGGUGACCAGGCAAAAUGGCAGUUCCUUCCAGCUGGUCCUCAGAUGGGCACAUCUAUUAGCCUCUGCUCUUGUAAGAAGUUAGCUGCAGAACCCACAUGUGAAUCCUUGUAGGACUCUGGAGAAGAUCAAAUGGGAGCUUAGAUGUGGAAGCUCUUUGGAAACCAAGAAACACUCUGAAAAUGAAAAGGAUACCAACUUCAUCUCUCUUUAAGAAUACAAUAUUAGUUUAAAAGAUUGUUCAACUUAAAGCAAUCUUGUAGAGAUUGUCACCCAUGAUUGAUGCUGGGUGGAAGAGUAAACUGUUCCUGUUUCUCCAUCUUGACAGGAAGCAGAAGUUCUCCUUAGCUGAUUUUUCUUCUUGCCUUAUACUGGGUUCUUUAACACCAGAACAAAAAUAAAUAAAUAAAAGAAUCUUCCAGAAAUUCAUGAAGAGACUUCAGGUCAGGAAAGCCUGAACUUUCUCAUCCAACACCCGUUCAAGUCGGAGGAUGCUGAUUAAUUCAUGAUGGAAAGGUAUCAAUUUCACAGCCCAGACCUCUACAUUCUUGAAAUGCUCUUCUCAUGGGAGACAUUAAAUAAGCUUUGAAUUAACUGUUUCCUUCUUACUACUCUAGAAAGUAUCACGGCUGACUUUUGGUCACUCUCAUGGCUUGACUCAGAUUCAUCUUCAUGGGUUUGAAUCAUUAUUCUGGCCAAAGGGUUGUAAUAUUGGCAUUAUCCAGGUCUGAGUCACAUGUUCAUCUCAGAAUCAGAUGGAAUGUACAGGGUGUACCAUGAACAAUUCUGACAUGUGAUUUAAUCUAUGUGGGACUACAUUUUAAAUACAUUUGGGAAGGAUUGAACAAUGAAGUGGAGCCCAUCAAUAUUGGUACUGAAAAUGAGACAGACCUUGUAUUGAAGACAGCGUAACCCCCAAGAGGAAAGGAGCUUGGAGCCCUGAAUCAGAGUAGAAGACAGGCUGAAUGAAUACCAGCCUUGGACUGUUGUGUGAAUGAAAAACAAGUUUUGAGAUUUGUGUGGUUUAUUUAUUAUAGUUACUGUUAUUAUUAAAGUUUUUCACUGCUUUACUCUCAG
rnacentral:lncRNA from 1 species